rnacentral:rRNA from 1 species
AUACGGAGGAUGCAAGCGUUACUCGGAAUCACUGGGCGUAAAGCGCGCGCAGGCGGCUAUUUAAGUCGGAUGUGAAAGCCUACGGCUCAACCGUAGAACUGCAUCCAAAACUAUUUAGCUAGAGUGUGGGAGAGGAAGAUGGAAUUAGUUGUGUAGGGGUAAAAUCCGUAGAGAUAACUAGGAAUACCAAAAGCGAAGGCAAUCUUCUGGAACACUACUGACGCUGAGGCGCGAAAGCGUGGGGAGCAAACAGGAUUAGAAACCCUAGUAGUCC